CCCGGCACCUCUGGCCAGGGCUGCUCACGCUGCCCAGCCGAGCAGAACCCUUUGGGCACUGGCUGGCACUGGCCUCCACUCCCUUCCUUCCUGCCACAGGCAUUUGGGAGAUACCUCAGGCCAGCUGAGAGGACGGGCAUCGUCCUUGUGGCCAUCGAGAUCCUGGGCCGCUCCAGCCUCCUGGACAAGAAGGCACCCAAGGAGUUUCUGGAGGUGGCCAUGGAAUCCCCUCAGCUGUGGCUGAUGGAUGUGCCAAAAAUUGUGAGACACAUCUUUGCAUACUAUGAUGAAACAAAUGCAGCAACUGCUCACAGCUUUCCCACACUGCUUGACCUGAUGGCCAAUAAGUGGCCUCGGCGAGUCGUCGCGACAGCUCUGGAGGUCGCGCCAAUAUCCUGCGACAAAGUCUGUCUGUGGAAGGCCAUGUUCUCCGUGCGCCAGACUCUGGAGAAGGUUUUGAAAGAGCUGCACAUCAAACUGCAGGAUGGGCAGAAGGACAUCUUCACUCAGCAGCAGAAGUCCUGCCUCACUUUCUUGGCUGUGAGUCAUCAGGAAAAGCCCAUGUGCCCUUGCCCUCUGCUGUCAGUAGGAAGCAGGAGCUGUGCCAGGACAGCCCUGCCAGCUCUACUCGGGCUCUCUGCCGCUUUCUUCCAGAUGCUGGCCUCUGAUGAUGUGGAAGAAGAGGAACUGGAUCCAUUGUACAAAGACUUGAGAAUUCUGAUGCAUUCAGGAAUCGAAAUGGUCCCUCUGGUGCUCAGGGCCCUUUUGACGCUGUCGGAGAGAGCUGAGACGGCAAGAAAAAUGAAGCGCGUCCUCCGAGAGUUGCUGAAAAUCCGGUGGGAAUGGUCUUGGGACAUUUCAGUGAUGGUUAUGGACAUCUUCCAAAAUGUACUGGGGCACCUGAAGAAGACAGAGGCCAGCCCCAUUGCUGUGAAGGUGGUGCAGAGGCUCUGGUACCUCUUUGAUGCGAAGGAAGACUGUGUGCGGGAGCACUCCAUCCGCCUCUUCAGAGACCUGCUGGGCAAAACAGUGUGUGUGGACAAGUAUGUCAUGAAGAAAUAUGCCUGGAAGGCCCUGGUCUGCCUCCUGCUUCACAUGAGUGAUGAGGCCCCCAGCGUGGCCAAGGCAUCUACAGAAGCCGUCCUGGCUAUAGCAGAGCUCCUCAAGUGGAAAGAGCUCAAGCAGCUGGCGCAGAUGGAGCAGACGUGGAGGAUGGGCGAGUGCUUGUUGGCCAAGGACAGCAGCAGGGCCGAACAGUUUGUGUGGGACAGCCAGCGCUACCUGUGGAGCCCUCAGGCCCCCAUGCGAGAGGCGGCCCUCAGGUUCAUUGGGCUGGCUGCGCGGCACCUGACAGAGCAGAGUGAGGACACCGUGGCUGAGGUGCUCUGGGAGCUUGACAGACUGCAAACAGGAGACAAGGAUCCCGCCAUCUGUUCCCUGGCAGCUCAGACCAGCUUGGUCCUGAAGUCUCCAAGGAAGCAGCGAAGAUCAGGAUUCUCCCUGCGUGCGCUGUGCUGCUGGUGCCGCUGAGCAGAGAGGGACCUUGAUCCUGGUCAAAAUGAGGACAGAGGUGCUGCCUGUGGAGAGAUCCAGAUCCCAGGCCUGGGGAAGCUGCUGGCACAUCCAUUCAAGUCACUCAAGAGAGAAGUGACCACUUUAUGGCUCUGGAUGCUCUCUGUGCCCACUUCAAGUUCAUCUGUCAGCAGAAAGGUAAGAGAAGCUGUGGUGGGCUGCAUCCCUGCGCACGGCCACAUCCCCCCGAUGCAUCUGCUCGUCUUCCCGGGCCUUGCGAUGGCCCCUUCUGUGCAGACACGGGGCUCAUGUGGGCUCUGCUUCUGUCACAGAACUUGAACUACUGCGGGCCAGAGAGAAGGAUCCUGGGCGCUCAGACCCGCCUGCCUAAAAUCCUGCGAGAGGACUCGGUGUGCCUGGAUCCAAGCCCAGCCACAGACCUGUCCAAACUGUAUAUAGUUCUAGAAAGUUAAUUACCCUAUAUAUAUC
ensembl:lncRNA